rnacentral:rRNA from 1 species
GGAGUACGGCCGGCAAGGUUUAAACUCAAAGGAAUUGACCGGGGACCCGCACAAGCGGUGGAUGAUGUGGANUAAUUCGAUGCAACGCGAACAACCUUACCUACCCUUGACAUGUNCUGGAAGCCUGCUGCAAGGCGGGUGUGCCUCGAAAGAGAACCGGAACACCAGGUGCUGCAUGGCUGUCGUCAGCUCGUGUCGUGAGAUGUUGGGUUAAGUCCCGCAAAGAGCGCAACCCUUGUCCCUAGUUGUUAGGCAAGGGCACUCUAGGGAGACUGCCCGGUGACAAACCGGAGGAAGGUGGGGAUGACGUCAAGUCCUCAUGGCCCUUAUGGGUAGGGCUUCACACGUCAUACAAUGGACGGUACAGAGGGUCGCCAACCCGACGAGGGGGAGCCAAUCCCGUGAAAGCCGUUCGUAGUCCGGAUCGCAGUNUGCAACUCGACUGCGUGAAGUCGGAAUCGCUAGUAAUCGCGGAUCAGCAUGUCGCGGUGAAUACGUUCCCGGGUCUUGUACACACCGCCCGUCACAACCAUGGGAGCGGGAUGUACCAGAAGUAGGUAGGCUAACCGCCAAGGGGGCCGCUUACCACGGUGCGUUUCGUGACUGGGGUGAAGUCGUAANCAAGGUACC